CCGACCCGAAGGGAAGAGCGGUAUGAGUAUAAAAAUUUGGACUUACGUACGUACUGUGCUUUACGUGAAUAGGCAAUGUAAAUGUAAAUUUCAUAUGAGCGAAGCGCCAUUUACAUUGCCGUAUCACGUAAAAGACUUUAUAUCAAUGCGUGUAAGAAUUUG